CGUGUAGGCGGUCUGGUUAGUCUGAUGUGAAAGCCCUGGGCUCAACCCAGGAAGUGCAUUGGAUACUGUCAGACUUGAAUACGGGAGAGGGUAGUGGAAUUCCUAGUGUAGGAGUGAAAUCCGUAGAUAUUAGGAGGAACACCGGUGGCGAAGGCGGCUACCUGGACCGAUAUUGACGCUGAGACGCGAAAGCGUGGGUAGCAAACAGGAUUAGAUACCCUGGUAGUCCACGCCGUAAACGAUGAGUACUAGGUGUUGCGGGUAUUGACCCCUGCAGUGCCGCAGCUAACGCAUUAAGUACUCCGCCUGGGAAGUACGGUCGCAAGACUAAA
rnacentral:rRNA from 1 species